UACGGAGGGUGCAAGCGUUAAUCGGAAUUACUGGGCGUAAAGCGCACGCAGGUGGCUGAGUCAGUCGAUUGUGAAAUCCCCGGGCUUAACCUGGGAAUGGCGUUGGAGACUGCACGGCUAGAGUGUGUCAGAGGGGGGUAGAAUUCCACGUGUAGCAGUGAAAUGCGUAGAUAUGUGGAGGAAUACCGAUGGCGAAGGCAGCCCCCUGGGAUAACACUGACGCUCAUGCACGAAAGCGUGGGGAGCAAACAGG
rnacentral:rRNA from 1 species